UACGAAGGUGACAAGCGUUGUUCGGAAUCAUUGGGCGUAAAGCGCACGUAGGCGGGUUUGAAAGUCGAUUGUGAAAACCCUGGGCUCAACCCGGGACCUGCAGUCGAAACUUCAAGUCUUGAAUACUCGAGAGGAUGGUGGAAUUCCAGGAGUAGAAGUGAAAUUCGUAGAUAUCUGGAGGAACACCGGAGGCGAAAGCGGCCAUCUGGCGAGUUAUUGACGCUAAGGUGCGAAAGCGUGGGGGAUCAAACAGG
rnacentral:rRNA from 1 species